rnacentral:rRNA from 1 species
UACGUAGGGGGCAAGCGUUGUCCGGAAUCAUUGGGCGUAAAGGGCGCGUAGGCGGAUAAUUAAGUCUGAUGUGAAACCCUAGGGCUCAACCCUAGGCUUGCAUCGGAAACUGGUUAUCUUGAGGGCAGGAGAGGAAAGUGGAAUUCCACGUGUAGCGGUGAAAUGCGUAGAUAUGUGGAGGAACACCAGUGGCGAAGGCGACUUUCUGGACUGUCACUGACGCUGAGGCGCGAAAGCGUGGGUAGCGAACAGGAUUAGAUACCCUGGUAGUCCACGCCGUAAACGAUGAGUGCUAGGUGUAGAGGGUAUCGACCCCUUCUGUGCCGCAGUAAACACAUUAAGCACUCCGCCUGGGGAGUACGGCCGCAAGGCUGAA